CAGGAAUUCAGGGCAUGACGGGAUUGGCUUGGCUCUGCUCCACGACGUGUGGGGCCUCAGCUGGAAGACCGGAAGACUGGAGGGCUGACGUUACCUGCAGGCUUCAUGGAGGCUGGAGGCUUGGUUUCCCAGAUGGCUCACUCACACGGCAGACUUUGUGCUCCAUCAGUUGAAGAGUAGGAUGAAGAAAAAAAAAAAAGGUUACAUGAAGAUGAUGGAAUUAUAAUCAGGCCUUGAAGAACGGAGACAAUUCCAGCCAUUGUUGUAGAUGUGGAGGCUGAAGGACAUUCCAAUUUGAAGGAACAGAAGAUGGGAUCUCACUCUGCUGCCCAGGCUGGUCUCCUCCUGCCUUGGCCUCCCAAAGUGUUGGAAUUACAAGUGUGAGCCACUGUGCCUGGCCCUGAAUAAGUUUCUUGACCCAGAGUUCCUGAAGAGGAGGAUGGGAACCUUGGAGGCUGUUUCUCCAGGCUGUGAUGGAGUCUUGUUGUGUUGCCCAGCCUGGCGUCUAACCCCUGGCCUCAAGCGAUCUUCCUGCCUUGGCCCCCCAAAGUGCUGGAAGUAUAGGCAUGAGUCACCACGCCCAGCCAAAUUUGUGUCUUAUUUUUAAUAAAUUUGGACGUGGUCGUAAUUU
rnacentral:lncRNA from 1 species